GAAUUUCAGUGAUGAUUGCUAAUACAGCCUAUUAUGCCAGUUCUGCUUCAGAUAAUUCUUGAUCGAAAAGCUGUUAUACAUCUGAGAAUUAU
rnacentral:snoRNA from 1 species